rnacentral:rRNA from 1 species
GACGAACGCUGGCGGCGUGCUUAACACAUGCAAGUCGAACGGUAAGGCCCCUUCGGGGGUACACGAGUGGCGAACGGGUGAGUAACACGUGGGUGAUCUGCCCUGCACUUCGGGAUAAGCCUGGGAAACUGGGUCUAAUACCGGAUAGGACCACGCUCUGCAUGGAGUGUGGUGGAAAGCUUUUGCGGUGUGGGAUGGGCCCGCGGCCUAUCAGCUUGUUGGUGGGGUGAUGGCCUACCAAGGCGACGACGGGUAGCCGGCCUGGGAGGGUGUCCGGCCACACUGGGGCUGAGAUACGGCCCAGACUCCUACGGGAGGCAGCAGUGGGGAAUAUUGCACAAUGGGCGCAAGCCUGAUGCAGCGACGCCGCGUGGGGGAUGACGGCCUUCGGGUUGUAAACCUCUUUCAGUACCGACGAAGCGCAAGUGACGGUAGGUACAGAAGAAGCACCGGCCAACUACGUG